CCAAUGGCGCACCCAAUACCCAACCAGUAUUUUUCUGAGAGAAUCUGCCCGAGGUGUGUGAGAGGAAAGCGAAGAAAGGAAGUCAGGGGGAUUCAUUCCCCGGGGAGCUGGGUAGAGAUUCUGUCUCCUCCUACAUCCAUAGCAUGCAGCUCCAUUUAGAUACAAAGGGGUGGGAUUGGGUUCCUGGGGAGAAAUUGAGCCCCUUUGGUUCUGCGGUUCUGCGGGGUCUAAAUCUGGCAGCUCCUUGGCUAUCAACCCCCAGGCUUUGUGAUUGGUUGGCCGUGGUUGGGGGAGGGGGAGCGGGUGGAAGCUGCUGGUGGAGCCGCAGCAUCCUUUAGUCUCGGGUCCCCAGGAGGGGGAGGGGAAAGAACCGGAGCCGAGCCGUGGAGGGAAGAGGAGCCAUUUCUCUCCACCGACUGCAACCUCCUUGCUCACAGCUCACUUUUCACCAGAAUCCAGGGACCGGGUCGGCCUAGGAAUCCGCAAUGCUGGAUAUUUUCAUCCUGAUGUUCUUUGCCAUCAUAGGCCUGGUCAUUCUGUCCUACAUUAUCUAUCUGCUCUAGUGGCCUGGAGCCGUGGCGGCCGGAGCCUGCUGGAGAACAUCUCGGAGGGAGGGAUGGAGCUGAACGGCCGAGCGCGCUGCUUGCUGACACACCGGUGGAUUUUUGCUUCUGGAUGUUAUCUCGGCUCCUGGUCUCCAGUCCAACAAGAGGCCUCUCAUCCACAGCAGUGCUCCCGCUGCCCAGCAGACCUCUUCCAGAGCCUUCCAGACAUGGCUGACCCCUGGCACGCAAGGGGCUUUUUGAGCUGAGAGGCACUUGGCUGGGACAUGAGGAAUUCAUGGACAUGGCUGGCAGAUACUGGAUGUGUUUGAGCUGUAGUUAGAGGGGAUUCAGAAUACAGAAAAUUGAAAAGGAGACUCCUUAAAGUUACAGUGGAGAACUGCCCAAAAAUUCAUUUUGAAUUAAGGAAACUUCAAUUCACGUUACGUUUCCUUCUAUCUAAAUGCAACGGCACAUUCCACUCGAAUAUGUUAGUUCCUUCUCACACACAGGGCCGCUUUGUUAAACUCACGGUCAAGUUUCAAGUUGUCCAUCUUCAUCUAUGAAGUAGUCACUUUAGCUCUGUCUGUCCAGAUUGCACCAUGUAGGCUUUUGUGGUUUCUCUUGUCUCACUAUCCAGCCAGAAGGAACUUGUCAUUUGAGUUUUUAAAUUUAUCAUUUCUUUCCACCUUAA